rnacentral:rRNA from 1 species
GACGAGGGGUCCUAGCGUUGUUCGGAAUCAUUGGGCGUAAAGCGGGUGUAGGCGGACUUAUAAGUCAGGUGUGAAAUCCCAGGGCUCAACCCUGGAAGUGCACUUGAUACUGUAAGUCUUGAGUGUGGUAGAGGCUAUUAGAAUUCCUGGUGUAGUGGUGAAAUACGUAGAUAUCAGGAGGAAUACCGGAGGCGAAGGCGGAUAGCUGGGCCAACACUGACGCUGAGACCCGAAAGCGUGGGGAUCAAACAGG